CACCGCAAUGCAUCCCUGUAUUUCUCAAAUCGAUCUCAUCACUCCCAUUCAGGCCGCUCUGGAGAUCGAAUGCUCGCCCUUCCAUUCGUGCUCUCCCUAUCCAGCCUCAUUCUUGCUGUCCCUCGCCACAGUCCCCGCCCUCUCCCUGUCUCUCGCCACUCCCAGAUCGUGCGACGCUUCUGUCAAAUUUGAGCCAUCCUCAGCGUGUGGAAAACAAACUUGGUGCGCUGGGUGUCAUUCUCGCCCACUGUACCAACCCAUGGGCAUGAGCGUUGUUGAGAGUUGGAUCACAUAAUAUGCCUUCAGCUUUACUAAGUUGGAAAACAGCCUCUCGAUUUAAUUUUUUGCAUGAUCGGUCAUUUAUAAAAUACGAAGGAAUGCAAGGAAAACUCAAUAAAUCAAUUACCAAGGUCCAUUGAGGUACAAGCACGAAAUCCAUUUCUAUAUAUUACAUGCGCAGCUGUUUCCCAACGAUUAUCAGGAGAUAAACAGGGUUGCCUAAACUUUCUCCAGUCUAUGGCCCAUUCAGUUGCUUCAACAAUAAAUCCAUCGGCUGAAUAUACAGGGCAGAAUACUUCCUCAGUCAAAAGUACAGCUGUUGGACCAAUGAGUUGUUUUGAUAAGAAGCAUUAUCAUAAUAGGGAAAGAUACUUGCUUAUAUACUCGGAACAGCAAGAUGUAUCUGUGAAGAAACUGUCAGUACAAAUGGAGUAGAGAGGCGAAAUUUAAAAAUCAUGAUACAAGUGAUAAUAAUGUUAUGAAGUCUGUAGUGAACCAAAACCGUACAAUCAGUAACGACGACACCAACUCACAAAUCACAAAGAAAAAACAAUUGGUAUUUUUUGUUAAUAUAUUUUGUAUUAUUUCUGUUGGACAAGCUAAAAAAAUUCUAGGGAUAAUUGUUCAAUAUUGUUGGUCAACAAAUUGCACCAUUCACUACCCGAAGAUUUAUGGGUGUAUGAUCAACUUUUCGCAUAUAUUCCUUUCCUGCUAUUAUUUUUUCCAUGUUGUCAUGUUUCCCAGUUGAAUUUGAACAGUCUGAAUGCAAGUCACAAAAUAGGAGACUUGGUUCAGCAAUGAGUAAUAAUAGAAGAACAGAGUACCGACUUGAAGAUGUGCCUGUUUUGAGGCAAAAGCUGGAUUAGCGGGACAACCGGUACUCUGUUCUUCUAUUAUUACUGGGCUUGUUCUACAGGUUGCUUCUUGAGCAGGCUUUUGAUGCUCUUGACAAAAGAUAUCAUCUAGAACCAUCCAGAAAAUGGUAUUAGAAUAUUUUGUAGAGAAAUUAGAGAGUAUGGUCACUGGUGAAAAUGUAGAAAAUUUAUUUUUUGUUUCAGAGGUAUAGUUUGUUCAUCAAGUUAUUGGGUGGCUCUCCAGUGUGGUUGGGUGGUUCUGUCCCCUGUUCCGUUUGUUUUGUCUGAUAAGCCACAAGCCCACAAGCGAAGCUUACAGGGAGAACUGUGUACAAGUAUUGUUGCUGAAGAAAUUUCACAAAUUUACUUCUCAAAGAUUCACGAGUAUUUUUUUCCUCCAAUUUGAUGAUCAACUUAUCAGAAUUUUUUGCUAUUAUUUUUUCCCCUGUUGGCAUGUUCUUCUAUCGUCUCAACGGAGUCUUAAUCCAAGCAGAGAUUAGCCCAUAUUAUGAGAGGACAUUUUAUUUGUUUAGAAAUGAUCAAAACAGAGUUGACUAAUAGAAAACAUUAUAAUCUAACAAAAUUUACAUCUGCUUGACUUCAACUUCAAAAUUCAUCAUUUUGUUUUACAUGUUUCUCAACUUUGUUAGUGCCUACGUGCAAAGCACGUGCAAUUUACUAGUAGAAGUAGGAGCCCACCACAUCUACGAAGAUACGUGCUUUUGUCACAAUUAUCGUCAUAGAAGUGUCAUAAGCAUGACAAAAAAAAUUCAUUCGGCCCAAAAUGUCAUGGAUGUGUCUGUUUUUUGUAGUUGUGUAAACCUAUAGGAUGCAAAUGGGUGUUCAAGAAGAAGCUUGGUACUAUCGAGAAGUACAAGGCAUGACUCAUGGCCAAGGGUUAUACUCAAAAGGAAGGUGAAGAUUUCUUUGAUACUUACUCACAUGUGGCUCGACUGACCACUAUUCGAGUACUACUUUCACUGGCCACCUCACACGGUCGUCUUGUUCAUCAAAUGGAUGUUAAGACCGCUUUCCUAAAUGGAUAGUUGGAAGAGGAAAUCUACAUGGAACAAUGAUACGUCUCCAACGUAUCUAUAAUUUUUUAUUGUUUCCUGCUAUUAUAUUAUCAAUUUUAGAUGCUUUAUAUGCAAUU